UACGGAGGGGGCUAGCGUUGUUCGGAAUUACUGGGCGUAAAGCGCGUGUAGGCGGCCAAGCAAGUCGGAUGUGAAAGCCCUCGGCUCAACCGGGGAAGUGCACUCGAAACUGCAUGGCUAGAGUCUCGGAGAGGAUCGUGGAAUUCUCGGUGUAGAGGUGAAAUUCGUAGAUAUCGAGAGGAACACCGGUGGCGAAGGCGGCCGUCUGGACACAUAUUGACGCUGAGGCUCGAAAGCAUGGGGAGCAAACAGG
rnacentral:rRNA from 1 species